rnacentral:rRNA from 1 species
GCUAAGAAUAUUCCGCAAUGGACGAAAGUCUGACGGAGCGACGCCGCGUGGAUGAGGAAGGCCGAAAGGUUGUAAAGUCCUUUUGUCGAUGAAGAAUAAGUGGUGGAGGGAAUGCCAUCAUGAUGACGUUAGUCGGUGAAUAAGCCCCGGCUAAUUACGUGCCAGCAGCCGCGGUAACACGUAAGGGGCAAGCGUUGUUCGGAAUUAUUGGGCGUAAAGGGUACGUAGGCGGUUAUGUAAGCCCGGCGUGAAAUCCUGCAGCUUAACUGUAGAGCUGCGCUGGGAACUGCGUAACUUGAGUCAUGGAAGGGAAGUUAGAAUUCUAGGUGUAGGGGUGAAAUCUGUAGAUAUCUGGAAGAAUACCGGUGGCGAAGGCGAACUUCUGGCCAAUGACUGACGCUGAGGUACGAAAGUGCGGGGAGCAAACAGGAUUAGAAACCCGUGUAGUCC